rnacentral:rRNA from 1 species
CACAAUGGGGGAAAACCCUGAUGCAGCCAUGCCGCGUGUGUGAAGAAGGCCUUCGGGUUGUAAAGCACUUUCAGUAGGGAGGAAGGUAGUGUAGUUAACACCUGCACUAUUUUGACGUUUACCUACAGAAGAAGCACCGGCUAACUCCGUGCCAGCAGCCGCGGUAAUACGGAGGGUGCGAGCGUUAAUCGGAAUUACUGGGCGUAAAGCGCAUGCAGGCGGCCUGUUAAGUCAGAUGUGAAAGCCCGGGGCUUAACCUCGGAAUUGCAUUUGAAACUGGCAGGCUAGAGUCUUGUAGAGGGGGGUAGAAUUUCAGGUGUAGCGGUGAAAAUGCGUAGAGAUCUGAAGGAAUACCAGUGGCGAAGGCGGCCCCCUGGACAAAGACUGACGCUCAGAUGCGAAAGCGUGGGGAGCAAACAGGAUUAGAUACCCUGGUAG